AAACAUUCCUCGACUCAUGCGCCGCCCGUGACUACUUUUGUUACUACUGCUACCGGGUAAGUGAAAACGGUUUUGUUGUCUUAAUGUAAUGGCGGAUACAUUUGAACCGAUACCCUGUUGCGCUCGGCUGAUGGUAGAGCAUGAAUGAUAUAAGGGCGCCAGGGUUAUGCGCGGAAGGUACUCUCAGGGUCGUGACGUUAACUAGCCCGUUCUGGUAAUUUGACCAUUAAAUUAUGAACAACGUGAGGUUGUCCGACUGAUCGUGUGAGAUGGAGGUGUGACCUGUCGCGGAGAUCUCUUACAGAAUUCGGAUACCUUAUUGACGGUUUACUUCGGAAGACGGUUGAAGACCUUGACGACUGGAGCUGCUGCUGGAGUUGGAAUAGGAUAGAUUUAUUUUGACUGCUACGUUAGAUGUUGAUUUCCUUACGAGUGCCAAUUCUAGGGCAACUCUAAUAUUUCGAUAGAAAUUAUAUAAUUACUUAAAAGAACCCUGAAAUAUUAAAAAUUAGCUCCAAGCAGCUACAGAUUAAUUUAAUGCAUUACCAGGAUGAACUGGGUUCCAAAUAUAUAGUAUAAGAUUAAAUAAUUAAUUUAGGGUA